rfam:Schistosoma margrebowiei strain Zambia genome assembly, scaffold: SMRZ_contig0002090
GUCCAGCUGAUGAGUUCCAAAUAAGACGAGACGCGAGUCCUGAAC